rnacentral:rRNA from 1 species
UACGUAGGUGGCAAGCGUUGUCCGGAAUUAUUGGGCGUAAAGCGCGCGCAGGUGGUUCCUUAAGUCUGAUGUGAAAGCCCACGGCUCGACCGUGGAGGGUCAUUGGAAACUGGGGAACUUGAGUGCAGAAGAGGAAAGUGGAAUUCCAAGUGUAGCGGUGAAAUGCGUAGAGAUUUGGAGGAACACCAGUGGCGAAGGCGACUUUCUGGUCUGUAACUGACACUGAGGCGCGAAAGCGUGGGGAGCAAACAGG